rnacentral:rRNA from 1 species
GAUGAACGCUGGCGGCGUGCCUAAUACAUGCAAGUCGAGCGAACAGACGAGGAGCUUGCUCCUCUGACGUUAGCGGCGGACGGGUGAGUAACACGUGGAUAACCUACCGAUAAGACUGGGAUAACUUCGGGAAACCGGAGCUAAUACCGGAUAAUAUAUUGAACCGCAUGGUUCAAUAGUGAAAGACGGUUUUGCUGUCACUUAUAGAUGGAUCCGCGCCGCAUUAGCUAGUUGGUAAGGUAACGGCUUACCAAGGCAACGAUGCGUAGCCGACCUGAGAGGGUGAUCGGCCACACUGGAACUGAGACACGGUCCAGACUCCUACGGGAGGCAGCAGUAGGGAAUCUUCCGCAAUGAGCGAAAGCCUGACGGAGCAACGCCGCGUGAGUGAUGAAGGUCUUCGGAUCGUAAAACUCUGUUAUUAGGGAAGAACAAAUGUGUAAGUAACUAUGCACGUCUUGACGGUACCUAAUCAGAAAGCCACGGCUAACUACGUG